UAUAUCCUGAGAGGUGAUGCGUAGCCGUAGCGGCGAAAUCCAUGAUCCUAUGCUGCCGAGAAAAGCCUCUAGCGAGCUGGUACAUGGCCCGUACCCCAAACCGACACAGGUGGUCAGGUAGAGAAUACUAAGGCGAUCGAGAGAACUGUGGUUAAGGAACUCGGCAAAAUGCCCCCGUAACUUCGGGAGAAGGGGGACCAGUCCUGGUGACGACAUUUACUGUCUGAGCUGGGGUUGGUCGCAGAGACCAGAGAGAAGCGACUGUUUACUAAAAACACAGGUCCGUGCGAAGUCGUAAGACGAUGUAUACGGACUGACGCCUGCCCGGUGCUGGAAGGUUAAGAGGACCGGUCAGCCACUUCGGUGGCGAAGCUGAGAAUUUAAGCCCCAGUAGACGGCGGUGGUAACUAUAACCAUCCUAAGGUAGCGAAAUUCCUUGUCGGGUAAGUUCCGACCUGCACGAAUGGCGUAACGACUUCUCUGCUGUCUCAACCACAGACUCGGCGAAAUUGCAGUACGAGUAAAGAUGCUCGUUACGCGCGGCAGGACGAAAAGACCCCGGGACCUUCACUAUAGCUUGGUAUUGGUGUUCGGUUCGGUUUGUGUAGGAUAGGUGGGAGACUGUGAAACUCGCACGCCAGUGUGGGUGGAGUCAUUGUUGAAAUACCACUCUGACCGUAUUGGACAUCUAACCUCGGACCAUGAUCUGGUUCAGGGACAGUGCCUGGUGGGUAGUCUAACUGGGGCGGUUGCCUCCUAAAAAGUAACGGAGGCGCCCAAAGGUUCCCUCAGCCUGGUUGGCAAUCAGGUGUUGAGUGUAAGUGCACAAGGGAGCUUGACUGUGAGACGUACAUGUCGAGCAGGGACGAAAGUCGGGACUAGUGAUCCGGCACCGGCAAGUGGAAGCGGUGUCGCUCAACGGAUAAAAGGUACCCCGGGGAUAACAGGCUGAUCUUCCCCAAGAGUCCAUAUCGACGGGAUGGUUUGGCACCUCGAUGUCGGCUCGUCGCAUCCUGGGGCUGGAGUAGGUCCCAAGGGUUGGGCUGUUCGCCCAUUAAAGCGGCACGCGAGCUGGGUUUAGAACGUCGUGAGACAGUUCGGUCUCUAUCCGCCGCGCGCGUAAGAAACUUGAGGAAACCUGUCCCUAGUACGAGAGGACCGGGACGGACGAACCUCUGGUGUGCCAGUUGUUCCACCAGGAGCACCGCUGGUUAGCUACGUUCGGAAGGGAUAACCGCUGAAAGCAUCUAAGCGGGAAGCCUGUUCCAAGAUGAGGUUUCUCACCACCUAGCGUGGUUAAGGCCCCCCACAGACCAUGGGGUUGAUAGGCCAGAACUGUAAGCACAGCAAUGUGUUCAGGUGACUGGUACUAAUCGGCCGAGGACUUACC
rnacentral:rRNA from 1 species